CAACUUUAACCUGCUGGACUGAUGUCCAGGCGCAGACUUCCUUCUGUGAAGCUUUUGGUCUUGCUGCUGUACCUGACUGAGCUGAUGUCAAGGCAGAGGAUGCUUUGUGGUUAUUGACUCAGGACCUGGUCACUGGCAUAACACUUCUAGCUUAAUGGCUGAUUUCAAGGGCCAUGGUUCUGUAAGGUCUUUGGCACAGCAUCUCCAGCUUGCUGGAUGAAAGCCAAAGGAUAUAGAAAGGCAGCUCCUCUAAAUGAUUAGGCUGACAUGAAGGCAGAGGACUCUCUCUGAGGCUGCUGGCUCAGUACUUCUAGAUUGCUGGGUUGAAUUCAGGGCACGGGCCAUUGGUGAGCUUGCUGACUUAGCACCCCUACAUUGUUAGAUAGAUGUGAAACGCAGGUCACUGUAAGAUUACUGGCUCAGAAUAGCACAAGCUCAACUUGCAGCUCAACAGGAAUGGGAGCAACAGUUUCAGGAGCAGCUGCUUCAGGGACUCAUUAUGCUAUUUGCACUGCUCAGGCUGCUAGUAAGCCCUAGUCCUUCCCUGGCCAAGAUGGGACUCAGAGGUGACCCACAGCCCUACUGUUGUGAAGUUUUGCUGAAACACCACACUCUUUGAAAGAGCCUUUAGGAAAAAAAGGCACUCACACAAGCAGGCAUUAUUGGCUUUCAUGUUAACGCAGGAGUUUACUGAAGAAAUGGGCUGAACUAAUUCUAAAGUCUCCAAACAUGAGUUAUCUACAUUCUUGUCAAUGCUGAGCUCCUACCUGCUGCUAGUGAGUCAAGCAGCCUGAAAAAUAAAAUAAUAUCAAUACCGAA